rnacentral:tRNA from 1 species
UUAAUUGAAACCAAUUUUUGAGGUAAGUUACUGUUAAUAACUUCAAAGAAAUAUAUUAAUUUCCAA